AUUAACGGGGUAUUUAAUUAGGUUUAGGCUUAUUUUCAUUAAAAAGAAAAUGAAAAAAAGAAAGAGAGGAAAACACGUCUCUUAUUUCAUGCCCGCAAGGAAAGUCGCUUAUUGACAGGUGUUAAAACAAGAAUGGGUGGAGAGAAGGUGGUGUUCGACCUUCUCGUUUUCUCUCUGUCUUGAUUUCUCUCCUCUACGAAACCUCUCUCUCUCGAUUCUUUUCAUCUCGUCGGUGGCUCCUCCCUUCUUCGAUCUAUCUCUCUUGGUGGCUCUCAUCGGUGAUCUAUCUCUCCUCGGCGUUCUAUCUCUCUCGAUUCCUCUCGUCGAGGAAUCACUUUGGCCUUCUCUCUCUCGAUUCCUCUCGUCGGUUACCUCUCUCUCUUCGGUGAUCUAUCUCUCUGUGGCUCUCCUCGACGGCGACAGACCCCUCUAUCUGUGGCUCUCCUAAAAUCAAAAGGUAAACGGGUUGUUUUUGCACGUCUUAGAUUAUGAUUGUUCUUGGUCUGAUCGAAUGUUUUAUUUGUUUUUUCUGUUGAUUAUGUGUCCAUGUGGCUCUCCUCGACGGCGACGGACCACUCUCUCUGUGUCUCUCGGGGAAUCAAAAGGUAAAACUUCCGGUUUCAUGCUCUUCAAGGUUUUACAAUUUUUAUUUGUUUGUUGUGUUCGAUCCUGUGUCAUGAAUGAUUAUGUAUGUUGUUACCUUAGAUGGAUGGAUCAAAUUAUAUUUGUUUACCAUCGAUUGUUUCAAUUUUCAUUGGCUGUUGUGUUAGUUUGUGUCUAUUUCCUCUCUGCUAUGUUUAUGUGUUUGUGUCGUCAGAUGAUUAGAUGAAAUCCAAUUUGAUAUGUUCGGUCUUUGUGUCUUUAAAUGGAUGUAUCAAGAGAGCCGAGCAAGGGUCAUCGGACAAAGGAGUACGCAGCUAUACAUGUCAAGAAGACAUCAUUGUUGUCACAUGUUUAUGUCUUGUAGUGAGCGCAUUGACAGCUUCUUAUGUCACGGACAUAAAGACGUUGGUGUCUUGUGUGUCACAUGUUUAUGUAUUCUUCUGUACUUGCUCACGGGCUUCCAAAUACCACUUCCAAACUCACCUUCUCUAUCGACUUGUAACCACACCAAACUCACCUUCUCUCUCGACUUGUAACAAACCAAAUUUAUCAUCUCUAUCGACUUGUAACCACACCAAACUCACCUUCUCUCUCGACUUGUAACAAACCAAAUUCAUCAUCCCUCUCGACUUGUAACAAACCAAAUUCACCAAAGCCAACUUCUCUCUA